UUGGAUGACUAAUUUUGACUA
ensembl:piRNA 21ur-1496 ncRNA